rnacentral:lncRNA from 1 species
CUCUGCCUCCCUCAGAUGGCAGCAACAGGCUCAGACACUCCCUGCACCCAGAGACCCGAACUGCCGCAUUGUUGAGCAGGCGGUCAGUCUGGGUGGACACAGACUUUCUAGAGAGCGCGCUCUGCCUGGUGUAGACCAUUGCAGCCUGGCUAGCGGUCGAUAGCCGUUAAAGAUGUUGUUCUUAUGGGCGGGGGGGAAGCUCUGCCCUCUCUGCCCUCCCUGCUCGCCCUGCCUGCGCGAACUGCCAGGCAAACUGCCGCGCCCCGCCCUUCUGACGCACCACGCCCUGGUCGCCGCGCUCCUGGUCGCUCGCGCUCCCUAGGGGCUGUUUUUGAACGGCCGGGGAGGGGGCGCUGCUGGCUCCACCUACGCCUCGUCAGCCUCCCUCACGAGGGCUGCUGGGUCCUGGCAGCUCCCUCGAGUGGCCUCGAUGCUGGAAAAAAGCCCUGCCUGUCCUGAUCCCCCGCUCCGCUGCAGAAUGUGUCUGACCCAGAGCCGAUUGCCUCAGCAAGUCGACAAAUGGGAGCCUUAGUGCCCCUUUAGCAAGGAGUCUCCUAUCACUAAGACUCUCCGUUCUGUUUCUGUGGCACUGGUUGUGAUGCAGCGCCCCAUCCGGUCCUGAUCCCUAUGCUCAGUACUUCCCCCAAUCUUGACACGCUUCUCGGGGUUGAUUCCCGGGUUCGGACUACUGUCCAGACCCUCAAACUCUUCCUUUUCCUGCCUGAGAGCCUCAAAUCUAUUUCCCAAGGACACCAUGGGGGUUGGUGGCAUCAUGGGCGUCGGGGGGCAAACAUCUCCUUCUGCUGCGAGCUGUGACAAGGGUCCAGCCCCUUUCUUCUUGUGGAUCGUCAAGCCCUCUGUCCUGCAUGUGAUCAGCUGGGUCAGCUUCUACCGCUGGCAGCGUCUUAGGAGGGGGCUGCAGGGCAUCAGUAGAGGCAGGUUGACACCUCCUGUCUGUUACCCUCAGAGACUCCCAGGAGCCCCUCAGGCUGCCGAUUUCUCGCUGCAGCCCAGCCACCUGCUCAAGGAGUUCCUUAAGCAGGGCACA